AUCUCUGUCUUUCAAGGCUAUGUAAACAUCCUCAAGAGACAGUAUGAACCACAGAUAACAUGGGAUGCACAGAAAUGUGAGCUACCCAAGAAAUACAGCUGUCGAUUGCACAUGAUACUGCUGUGCCGAAAAUUCUGUCAGUGUUCAUUUGGCUCACCUUGAUCGUGGGUUCAGCCUGAAGUCAGCAGGCUCCAAGGCGGAAAAGAAAUGGUGGAAGAGUUAAUGAAUAAAGCUGUUCAACUCACGGAAGCCGGAAGUGGAAAGAGAGGAAAACCAGGCCCAGGAAUACACUUCCGGGUCAUGGCCCAAUGACCAUUCACCACCAAGGGUCCACUUGUCCAGACGCAUUCUGCACUGAACACAUCAGUAGAGGAUCCCCUGGCUUCUGGAUACAACAGUUUGGUAUCCUUCCCACUGGUCCCAAGACACAAGCCAGGCAAAGCGAUCAUAAUAGGCGCUUAUCCAUGUGUGAGUGGGAACGAAACUUUACUGCUGAGGCUUGGAAGGCCAGCCAGCCACUUCUGAGCAGAGCACAGCCACGGUGGAGCCAGCAUUUAGUAUUACAUUGUAAAUGGAACACAUGGAAGCCACUGGGAUUAUGAACAUUGUGGAAAGCAUGAUGUGAACAAUGGCUGAAAUAGAGAAACGAUACUUCUGCUUAGUACUGUGAGAAGGACCAGUAGAUGGAUGUUAAAAAAGAGAUGGAACUGCAUUCAA